AUUGAACGCUGGCGGCAUGCCUUACACAUGCAAGUCGAACGGUAACAGGUCUUCGGAUGCUGACGAGUGGCGAACGGGUGAGUAAUACAUCGGAACGUGCCCGAUCGUGGGGGAUAACGAAGCGAAAGCUUUGCUAAUACCGCAUACGAUCUACGGAUGAAAGCCGGGGACCGCAAGGCCUUGCGCGAACGGAGCGGCCGAUGGCAGAUUAGGUAGUUGGUGGGAUAAAAGCUUACCAAGCCGACGAUCUGUAGCUGGUCUGAGAGGACGACCAGCCACACUGGGACUGAGACACGGCCCAGACUCCUACGGGAGGCAGCAGUGGGGAAUUUUGGACAAUGGGCGAAAGCCUGAUCCAGCCAUGCCGCGUGCAGGAUGAAGGCCUUCGGGUUGUAAACUGCUUUUGUACGGAACGAAAAGACUCUGGUUAAUACCUGGGGUCCAUGACGGUACCGUAAGAAUAAGCACCGGCUAACUACGUG
rnacentral:rRNA from 1 species